UACGGAGGGGGCUAGCGUUGUUCGGAAUUACUGGGCGUAAGCGCACGUAGGCGGCUUUGUAAGUUAGAGGUGAAAGCCCGGGGCUCAACUCCGGAAUUGCCUUUAAGACUGCAUCGCUAGAAUUGUGGAGAGGUAAGUGGAAUUCCGAGUGUAGAGGUGAAAUUCGUAGAUAUUCGGAAGAACACCAGUGGCGAAGGCGACUUACUGGACACAUAUUGACGCUGAGGUGCGAAAGCGUGGGGAGCAAACAGG
rnacentral:rRNA from 1 species